CUACGGGUUGCACCAGUGAGGAAUAUUGCACAAUGGGGGGAACCCUGAUGCAGCAACGCCGCGUGGAGGAUGACGCAUUUCGGUGUGUAAACUCCUUUUAUAUGUCAAGAAAAUGACGGUAGCAUAUGAAUAAGCACCGGCUAACUCCGUGCCAGCAGCCGCGGUAAUACGGAGGGUGCAAGCGUUACUCGGAAUCACUGGGCGUAAAGGACGCGUAGGCGGGUUGGAAAGUCAGGUGUGAAAUCCUACAGCUUAACUGUAGAACUGCACUUGAAACUUCUAAUCUAGAGUAUGGGAGGGGGAGAUGGAAUUAGUGGUGUAGGGGUAAAAUCCGUAGAUAUCACUAGGAAUACCUAAAGCGAAGGCGAUCUCCUGGAACAUUACUGACGCUAAGGCGUGAAAGCGUGGGGAGCAAACAGGAUUAGAUUACCCGAGUAGUC
rnacentral:rRNA from 1 species